rnacentral:rRNA from 1 species
AGUGGCGUACGGGUGAGUAACACGUGGAUCAUCUGCCCUGGAGUGGGGAAUAACGCUGGGAAACCGGCGCUAAUACCGCAUAUACCCGAGAGGGGAAAGCAGCAAUGCGCUCGAGGAGGAGUCCGCGGCCGAUUAGCUAGUUGGCAGGGUAAAAGCCUACCAAGGCUGUGAUCGGUAGCCGGCCUGAGAGGGCACACGGCCACACUGGCACUGAAACACGGGCCAGACUCCUACGGGAGGCAGCAGUGGGGAAUCUUGCACAAUGGGGGAAACCCUGAUGCAGCGACGCCGCGUGAGCGAUGAAGCCCUUCGGGGUGUAAAGCUCUUUCGGCAGGGAAGAUUAUGACGGUACCUGCAGAAGCAGCUGCGGCUAACUACGUGCCAGCAGCCGCGGUAAUACGUAGGCAGCAAGCGUUGUUCGGAGUUACUGGGCGUAAAGGGUGUGUAGGUGGCGCGCUAAGUUCCGUGUGAAAUCUCCCGGCUCAACCGGGAGGGUGCGCGGAA